UGGCUCAGAUUGAACGCUGGCGGCAUGCCUUACACAUGCAAGUCGAACGGCAGCACGGGUGCUUGCACCUGGUGGCGAGUGGCGAACGGGUGAGUAAUACAUCGGAACAUGUCCUGUAGUGGGGGAUAGCCCGGCGAAAGCCGGAUUAAUACCGCAUACGAUCUACGGAUGAAAGCGGGGGACCUUCGGGCCUCGCGCUAUAGGGUUGGCCGAUGGCUGAUUAGCUAGUUGGUGGGGUAAAGGCCUACCAAGGCGACGAUCAGUAGCUGGUCUGAGAGGACGACCAGCCACACUGGGACUGAGACACGGCCCAGACUCCUACGGGAGGCAGCAGUGGGGAAUUUUGGACAAUGGGCGAAAGCCUGAUCCAGCAAUGCCGCGUGUGUGAAGAAGGCCUUCGGGUUGUAAAGCACUUUUGUCCGGAAAGAAAUCCCUGGCUCUAAUACAGUCGGGGGAUGACGGUA
rnacentral:rRNA from 1 species